rnacentral:rRNA from 1 species
CCUACGGGUGGCAGCAGUCGAGAAUCUUUCACAAUGGGGGAAACCCUGAUGGUGCGACGCCGCGUGGGGGAAUGAAGGCCUUCGGAUUGUAAACUCCUGUCAUGUGGGAGCAAACUAAAAAGAUAGUACCACAAGAGGAAGAGACGGCUAACUCUGUGCCAGCAGCCGCGGUAAUACAGAGGUCUCAAGCGUUGUUCGGAAUCACUGGGCGUAAAGUGUGCGUAGGCUGUUUCGUAAGUCGUGUGUGAAAGGCGCGGGCUCAACCCGCGGACGGCACAUGAUACUGCGAGACUAGAGUAAGGGAGGGGGAACCGGAAUUCUCGGUGUAGCAGUGAAAUGCGUAGAUAUCGAGAGGAACACUCGUGGCGAAGGCGGGUUCCUGGACAUUAACUGACGCUGAGGCACGAAGGCCAGGGGAGCGAAAGGGAUUAGAUACCCUGGUAGUC